GACGAACGCUGGCGGCGUGCCUAAUACAUGCAAGUAGAACGCUGAAGCGAGGAGCUUGCUCUUCUUGGAUGAGUUGCGAACGGGUGAGUAACGCGUAGGUAACCUGCCUUGUAGCGGGGGAUAACUAUUGGAAACGAUAGCUAAUACCGCAUAACAAUGUCUGACACAUGUCAUUUAUGUGAAAGGGGCAAUUGCUGCACUACAAGAUGGACCUGCGUUGUAUUAGGUAGUAGGUGAGGUAACGGCUCACCUAGGCGACGAUACAUAGCCGACCUGGGGAGGUGAUCGGGCACAAGGGGAAUGAGACACGGCCCAGACUCCUACGGGAGGCAGGAGUAGGGAAUCUUCGGCAAUGGGGGCAACGCUGAACGAGCAACGCCGCGUGAGUGAAGAAGGGUUUCGGAUCGUAAAGCUCUGUUGUAAGUCAAGAACGAGUGUGAGAGUGGAAAGUUCACACUGUGACGGUAGCUUACCAGAAAGGGACGGCUAACUACGUG
rnacentral:rRNA from 1 species